UGAGAUAUCGCCGAUGGCAUCGUUUGA
rnacentral:sRNA from 1 species